rfam:Charadrius vociferus contig37967, whole genome shotgun sequence.
GUCCAAAAUACAGUGAUGAUGUCUUUUCUGAGCACACAUCGGAUUGCUCUAUAUAGAAAACGACUGUUACUGAGUGAUUUUUGGAU